rnacentral:rRNA from 1 species
CUACGGGUGGCACCAGUCGAGAAUCUUCCGCAAUGGACGAAAGUCUGACGGAGCGACGCCGCGUGCGGGAUGAAGGCCUUCGGGUUGUAAACCGCUGUCAGUGGGGAGGAAAUGCAUCAGGGUUCUCCCUGGUGUUUGACCGAUCCGCAGAGGAAGCGCAGGCUAAGUUCGUGUCAGCAGCCGCGGUAACACGAACUGCGCGAACGUUAUUCGGAAUCACUGGGCUUAAAGAGUUCGUAGGCGGCCUUUCAAGUCGGGUGUGAAAUCCCUCGGCUCAACCGAGGAAUUGCGCCUGAUACUGUUGGGCUUGAGGGGGAUAGGGGUGAGCGGAACUGAUGGUGGAGCGGUGAAAUGCGUUGAUAUCAUCAGGAACACCGGUGGCGAAGGCGGCUCACUGGAUCUCUUCUGACGCUGAGGAACGAAAGCUAGGGGAGCGAACGGGAUUAGAUACCCCGGUAGUC